rnacentral:tRNA from 1 species
GCGUUGAUGGUGUAAUGGUUAGCAUUGUUGCCUUCCAAGCAAUAGACCUGGGUUCGAUUCCCGGUCAACACA